rnacentral:rRNA from 1 species
AUUGAACGCUGGCGGCAGGCCUAACACAUGCAAGUCGAACGAGUGGCGGACGGGUGAGUAAUGUCUGGGACACUGCCCGAUGGAGGGGGGUCACUACUGGAAGCUGUCUCUAAUACCGCAUACCCUCGGAUGUGCCCAUAUGGGAUGAGCUUGUGGGUGGGGUAACGGCUCACCUAGGCGACGAUCCCUCGCUGGUCUGAGAGGAUGACCAGCCACACUGGAACUGAGACACGGCCCAGACUCCUACGGGAGGCAGCAAUGGGGAAUAUUGAACAAUGGGCGCAAGCCUGAGGCAGCCAUGCCGCGUGUAUGAAGAAGGCCUUCGGGUUGUAAAGUACUUUCAGUGAGGAGGCGUUACUCGCAGAAGAAGCACCGGCUAACUCCGUGCCAGCAGCCGCGGUAAUUC